UGGGGAAUUUUGGACAAUGGGCGAAAGCCUGAUCCAGCAAUGCCGCGUGUGUGAAGAAGGCCUUCGGGUUGUAAAGCACUUUUGUCCGGAAAGAAAUCCUUGGCUCUAAUACAGUCGGGGGAUGACGGUACCGGAAGAAUAAGCACCGGCUAACUACGUGCCAGCAGCCGCGGUAAUACGUAGGGUGCAAGCGUUAAUCGGAAUUACUGGGCGUAAAGCGUGCGCAGGCGGUUUGCUAAGGCCGAUGUGAAAUCCCCGGGCUCAACCUGGGAACUGCAUUGGUGACUGGCAGGCUAGAGUAUGGCAGAGGGGGGUAGAAUUCCACGUGUAGCAGUGAAAUGCGUAGAGAUGUGGAGGAAUACCGAUGGCGAAGGCAGCCCCCUGGGCCAAUACUGACGCUCAUGCACGAAAGCGUGGGGAGCAAACAGGAUUAGAUACCCUGGUAGUCCACGCCCUAAAACGAUGUCAACUAGUUGUUGGGGGAUUCAUUUCCUUAGUAACGUAGCUAACGCGUGAAGUUGACCGCCUGGGGGAGUACGGUCGCAAGAUUAAAACUCAAAUGAAUUGACGGGGUCAUAGCUGUUUCCU
rnacentral:rRNA from 1 species